GAUGAACGCUGGCGGCGUGCCUAACACAUGCAAGUCGAGCGGCAGCGAGGGGUGCUUGCACCCUGUCGGCGAGCGGCGGACGGCUGAGUAACGCGUGGGAACUUGCCCCAAAGUGAGGAAUAACUGCCCGAAAGGGUAGCUAAUACCGCUUAUUAUCUUCGGAUCAAAGGGUUUAUCCGCUUUGGGAGCGGCUCGCGUCGGAUUAGGUAGUUGGUGAGGUAAUUGCUCAGCAAGUCGACGAUCCGUAGCUGGUCUGGGAGGAUGACCAGCCAGACUGGAACUGAGACACGGUCCCGAAUCGGACGGGAGGGAGCAGUGAGGAGUAUUCCAGAAGGGGCGCAAGCCUGAUGGAGCAACGCGGGGUGUAGGACGAAGGCGUUCGGAUUGCAAAUUGGUCUUAUAAGUGAGGAAUAUGACGGUAACUUAUAAAUAAGGAUCGGCUAACUACGUG
rnacentral:rRNA from 1 species